AUUGACAGUUAAAUGACUGUAUAUUUUAACGGACAUUUUCCGUACAACACGUGUUACGGGUGUUUUUCCGUUUAUAUACAUUUUCGAAUUGCAUUAUGGGACUGUGAUCGCGCCUCCGACAACUUUUGAUGGUCAUGGACGUAUAAGCACAGCCGUAACACAACAUUUUACCCAAGUUUUUACACUGUUUAUUUGUCAGUAUUUUUAACCUGCUUGGUGCGCGCCCGGGAAGUAACGUCCCAUCCCCCGCUGCACUGUGUGACAGACACGGUGAACUUCAUCUCCGCUCUGUGUGUAAACGGUAUGUUUUUAAUGGAAAUAUAAAAUUACUGUUUUCUUUGUACUGUACAAUUAACAAGGGCUAGCAUUCAAAGGUAGGUUAGUGAUAUUGUAUAGUUUGGUUGACAGUUAUCGUGGUGUAUUUCAAAUGAAUUUACAAUGAAUGCUAUUUUAAACUUAGCAUUUGGCCGUCUGUGUUUCUGUUUGCAUAUUAAUAACUUAUUUUAUAUUAUAUGUAACGUUAUAUGUAUCUAUACAGUAGACACUGUGUAACGCUAUAUGGGGAAUAUACACACAUGUAAAGUUAAUAUACAUCCAGACGGUUGUAACAAAAAACCUGACAGGAUGAUGAUCAGACAUCGACGCGAAGCGGGGGCGAGUGGGUUUUUUUAUGCAACAACCACCGCAGGUAAGUUUACUUACUUUAGUAAGGUUACGGUUAUCCCGCUUAGACUGAUUUCACGCCACCGCCAUGUUGAAAUCGAAAGCGAGGCAGAGGUGGGAAGAAAAUCGGAAAGACCGAUAUACUGAAGUGGUUUGUACAACCAACCUAAAAUCUUAAAUGUGACAAUAUAAGCAUAGGAUGCAUGUCACACGAACUGUUUUACUUGACCACUUAGCCGUACCAUCACAUAUUAGUGACUGUUUAAACUGCCAUAAACGGGUUUCAUUCACGCGCACAUUUACUGUAACGUUUUUUUAAAGUAAACGCAUCAUUUGUUUAUUCAUGUCACAGACACCCGAUGGUAACGUUAGUCCAAACCAUUGCAGUCUAUCUGUCCUUACGGUUUUCUUCCCACCUCUGCCUUGUUUUCCAUUUCAAAAUGGCAGCGGAGUGAAAUCAGUCUAUUAGACAGCUACUUGCCAUAUCAUGAGUGAGAACUUAUUUUUCUUUCUACUGUCUUACUGAUAGUUCUUUUCUAAAGGAGAAGAGGAGACCACUACCAAAGACAGAAGACAUGAUCAGGAUCAGCAUUGAAGACUUGCUACUGACACCAGACACACACACGCACACUUUCUGCAUCUCUAACACACUCACACACACUUUCUGUAUCUCUAACGCACACACACACACUUUCUGCAUCUCUAACAUUUUAAAGUUUAUUUAAUUUUUCCAAGCCAAGUAAGGUGAUACAUUUUUGUUGUGUUUAGAACAGGAGCCUGCAGCAAAAAAGGGCGCCAAGCAGUAUAACAUACCACCUAAACUCCUUCGAUCCCUGUCAGACCUGAAUGACUUUCAGAAUCCUUGGAAGAUUUAAAGCCAUAUAAAUACCAGUUAUGGAGAGAAAGAAGACGAAAGACGUGGAUGUGAUAUUGCAACAUAUCCUGCAUGUUCAUCAAUGUAAAAUGGAAUUGUAACUAUAGUAGUUGAAGGUUAAGUGUUUUUAACUUUUCAUUUGUAUGCCUUUUCAGUGGUUCAGUCCUGGUUUAGGUCUGGAAUUACAUUGCAUCUCAAAGUUGACUGUUGAAGAUGUUCCCAGUUUUCUUGCCAUCUUGGAGUUAACUUGGUUUCUUGAAAUGUAUUUGUAAUUUGCCCACUUGUCUUACACAUGCACCUUAAAGUAAAAUUUUACAGUAUGUUUUUCUAUUUUAGUCAUUAUUACUUAUUUAGUGAUUAUUUGUAAUUACAAAUUAUUUGUAUUCAUUAAAGAAUCUGUUUUUAUUACAAAGUUGUUGUUGUUUUUAAUAA